GCGCCAGUAGCUCAGCUGGAUAGAGCAACGGACUUCUAAUCCGUAGGCCGGGGGUUCGAAUCCCUCCUGGCGCACCA
rnacentral:tRNA from 1 species